rnacentral:rRNA from 1 species
GACGAACGCUGGCGGCGUGCCUAAUACAUGCAAGUAGAACGCUGAAGGAGGAGCUUGCUUCUCUGGAUGAGUUGCGAACGGGUGAGUAACGCGUAGGUAACCUGCCUGGUAGCGGGGGAUAACUAUUGGAAACGAUAGCUAAUACCGCAUAAGAGUAGAUGUCGCAUGACAUUUGCUUAAAAGGUGCAAUUGCAUCACUACCAGAUGGCCCUGCGUUGUAUUAGCUAGUUGGUGAGGUAACGGCUCACCAAGGCAACGAUACAUAGCCGACCUGAGAGGGUGAUCGGCCACACUGGGACUGAGACACGGCCCAGACUCCUACGGGAGGCAGCAGUAGGGAAUCUUCGGCAAUGGACGGAAGUCUGACCGAGCAACGCCGCGUGAGUGAAGAAGGUUUUCGGAUCGUAAAGCUCUGUUGUAAGAGAAGAACGAGUGUGAGAGUGGAAAGUUCACACUGUGACGGUAUCUUACCAGAAAGGGACGGCUAACUACGUG